UCUGGUUGGUUAAAUAAAGAUGGUGGGAGGUUGAGCUGAUGUCGUUGAGGUUCUGGUUGGUUAAAUAAAGAUGGUGGGAGGUUGAGCUGAUGUCGUUGAGGUUUAAAUAAAGUAGUGGUUGAUUUGAGGUUGUAAUAUGUUCUAUGGGAUCUGCUGUGUUGAGGUUAUGGUUGGUUAAAUAAAGUAGUGGUUGAUUUGAGGUUGUAAUAUGACUGUGUUGGGAUCUGCUGUGUUGAUCCGUUGCUGUACAGAUGUGCUCAGAAUAAAUGUUUUAUUAAACCC